UACGAAGGGUGCAAGCGUUGUUCGGAUUUAUUGGGCGUAAAGCGCGCGUAGGCGGACCUGCAAGUCAGAUGUGAAAUCUCGGGGCUCAACCUCGAAACUGCGUCUGAAACUACAGGUCUAGAAUCUUGGAGGGGGUAGGGGAAUUUCGCAUGUAGGGGUAAAAUCCGUAGAUAUGCGAAGGACCACCAGAGGCGAAGGCGCCUGCCUGGACAAGUAUUGACGCUGAGGCGCGAAAGCGUGGGGAUCAAACAGG
rnacentral:rRNA from 1 species